UAAGCGAGAGAGAAACUCACACACAUUCCUGAAACACACACACACACACACAAGUACGGUCACUUUCUUCCCUCCCAGUAAACCCUAAUUCUCCAUCCCCAAUUCCCAUUUCUUCCUCUCAAUUCCCUCGAUUUCGAUCUUCCCAUCGCUAUGCAAGGCGAGGACGAGCCCUCUGGCAGCGCAACGAUGGUCGAAGACGAGAUCCACGCCAACGGCACUACCUCCGACGACCACAACCGCAAUAGACCCAUUAUUACUGGCGAACAGCUCGACAUUGAAGCUUAUGCUAGUCUCUAUUCGGGUCGUACCAAGAUCACUCGCCUUAUCUUCAUCGCUGACCACUGCGGCGCCGAGACUAACCAGACGAUGCAGCUCGAGGCGCUUCGCAUGGCUUACGACGAGAUUAAGAAGGGCGAGAACGCUUUGUUGUUCAGGGAAGUUGUGCCGAAGAUUGAUGGUAGGUUGGGGCCUAACUAUGGGAUGGAUGCCGCUUGGUGUGAGAUGGUCGAGCGGAGGGCUGAACAGAGGAAGGAUAAGCUUGAGAAUGAGCUCAAUGCGUAUAGGACUAAUUUGAUAAAAGAAAGUAUAAGGAUGGGAUAUAAUGAUUUUGGGGAUUUUUAUUAUGCUCACGGUGCACUUGGUGAUGCUUUUAAAAGUUAUGUUCGUACGCGUGAUUAUUGUACUACAUCAAAGCAUAUCAUUCAUAUGUGCAUGAGCGCAAUUCUUGUCAGCAUAGAGAUGGGCCAGUUUACUCAUGUCACGAGUUAUGUCAGCAAAGCAGAACAGACCCCGGAGGCCCUUGAUGCAAUUACUAGUGCAAAGCUUCGUUGUGCUGCUGGAUUGGCUCACUUGGAAGCAAAGAAGUACAAACUUGCUGCUCGCAAGUUUUUGGAGACAGGUCCUGAACUAGGAAGCCACUAUAAUGAAGUGAUUGCACCUCAGGAUGUUGCAACAUAUGGCGGUCUUUGUGCACUUGCAACUUUUGACCGCUCAGAGCUAAAGUCCAAAGUUAUAGACAAUGUCAACUUUCGAAAUUUCUUAGAGUUGGUUCCUGUAGUCCGAGAGCUGAUCAAUGAUUUCUACUCAAGCCAUUAUGCAUCAUGCCUAGACUACCUUGGGAAUCUUAAGCCUAACUUAUUGCUUGACAUUCAUUUACAUGACCAUGUUGAGACACUCUAUGAUCAAAUACGUCACAAGGCUCUCAUCCAAUACACACUCCCAUUUGUGUCUGUUGACCUCCACAUGAUGGCCAAUGCUUUUAAAACAAGUGUGGCUGGUCUUGAGAAAGAGCUUGAGACACUAAUCACUAAUAACCAAAUCCAGGCAAGAAUUGACUCACACAAUAAAAUUCUUUACGCACGGCAUGCGGACCAGAGGAAUGCAACCUUCCAAAGGGUCUUACAGUCCGGAAGCGAGUUCGACCGCGAAGUCCGAUCGAUGCUACUGAGAGCAAAUCUUAUCAAGCAUGACUAUAACCAACGAGGGGGAUCAAGAAAAAUUUGAUAUUUUUUUUAAUAUUGGGCUGCACACAGCCCUUGUUUCUCUCCUUGAUUGGCUUUCAUUGUUUUGGCCAUGAGUAGGUUUGCAUAGAGAGAGUCAAAGAGACUUAAAUUGAAAUUGGAAGUUGGAUGUGAGGUGGAUUGUUAAAAGCAAGAAAAGAUUCCAAGGACACACUUGUUUCUGACUUUGGCUGUGAGUUGAAUUUGCAAAGUAAUGAGAAUUUCUUCAUUGUUUUCUCUCUUUUAGAAUCCUCAAGACAAUCAAUUUCUCUAGAGAUUUUUUUUUUCUUUAUAGAUCUGUAUAAGUUAAUAACUUAGUUGACAGAUUUAAGUGAUUUAUAUAAAAUUUAAUAAAGAUUUGAAAGAUCCA